CCUACGGGGGGCUGCAGUGGGGAAUAUUGGACAAUGGGGGGAACCCUGAUCCAGCCAUGCCGCGUGUGUGAAGAAGGCCCUCGGGUUGUAAAGCACUUUCAGUGAGGAAGAACGCCUGGUGGUUAAUACCCAUCAGGAAAGACAUCACUCACAGAAGAAGCACCGGCUAACUCCGUGCCAGCAGCCGCGGUAAUACGGAGGGUGCGAGCGUUAAUCGGAAUUACUGGGCGUAAAGCGCGCGUAGGUGGCUUGAUAAGCCGGUUGGGAAAGCCCCGGGCUCAACCUGGGAACGGCAUCCGGAACUGUCAAGCUAGAGUGCAGGAGAGGAAGGUAGAAUUCCCGGUGUAGCGGUGAAAUGCGUAGAGAUCGGGAGGAAUACCAGUGGCGAAGGCGGCCUUCUGGACUGACACUGACACUGAGGUGCGAAAGCGUGGGUAGCAAACAGGAUUAGAUACCCGUGUAGUC
rnacentral:rRNA from 1 species